rnacentral:misc_RNA from 1 species
UACCCUCUCAACCCCCUCUUUUGUAACAGAAAGCAGUGAACAGGGUUGGAUCUUGACGGUUUUUGUCUUUCAUUAGACUCCGUUGAAAUACAAUAAGCUUCUUGUGAUAUUCAAGGCGAGCUUGACCCGUUGUCAUACGUUCUUUGUAACACUUCUUCAAUGGGGAUUCGCACGGAAAAACACUAGCUUACCAUAAAUUAACUAUAC